UGAGGAUGUGUUCAACCCUCAGUUCCCGACGCUUUUCUAUUCUGUUGUUUUGUUGCCGUUAAACGUGUGUUUUGUAGUCUAAUAGAGUUUACCCAGGGUCGGAUCCACUCUUUGCGUCCGUGGACUACACCUCUCCGUUCUUCGUGGCCUUUCUCCGCUGGAGAUCUAUUGGCGGAUUGGAUUGUCUGACUGACCGACUGACUACCACCUUUUUGUAUACGAACAGCCUCAAUUCAUCAGGGCAGGGACUCUACAAGGUGUUCCAAGGGGAUGAAGGCCCAUUAUGACUCCAAUGCUUCCCACAGUUGUGUCAAGUUGGCUGGAUGUCUUUUGGGUGGUGGACCAUUCUUGAUACACACAGGAAACUGUGUGAAUAAACCCAGCAGUGUUGCAGUUCUUGUCACAAACCAGUGCGCCUGGCACCUACUACCACACCUCAUUCAAAGACGCGUACAUUUUUUUGUCUUGCCCAAACACCCUCUAAAUGGCACCCAUACACAAUACACUUCUCAAUUGUCUCAGGUUAAAUAAGGUUUUUAAGCCUUGUCUCCUCCCCUUCAUCUACACUGAUUGAAGUGGAUUUAACAAGUGACUUCAAUAAGGGAUCAUAGCUUUCACUUGGAUACACAUGGUCAGUCUAUGUCACGGAAAGAGCAGGAAGAUACAUUUGAACUGAUUCUGAUCUAUCACCUAAUACCUACUCAUAAAUCCAUGGACAGUGAGUGGAAGCCUGAACUGUAUGCAGACACGUUGUUUAUUCGUAAAUUUGUACAUUUUACCCACAUAAAGGCAAAGCAGUUUCCACAUAACUGGCUCUCUCCUGUUGCUGGCUCAUAACUGGCUUUCUCCUAUUGCUGGCUCAUAACUGGCUCUCUCCUCUCUCCUGUUGCACACGGGACACACUCUUUUCACACCACUUCAAUAAGAAAUGAUUUUGGUAGCAGGUUAGGAGCAGGGACAGAUGACUGAAUGGCCCCAGAUAGCAUAUGAUAUCAAAAUGUGUAGAAUUACAGGAAAUUAGCUUUUAAACUGAAACCUUUCCUAUCGACCUCAUUUAAAAAAAAAUAUAUAUAUAUAUAUUUAUUUAUUUAUUUUUACCUUUUUAUUUAACCAGGUGUGCUUGUUGAGAACAAGUUCUCAUUUGCAACUGUGACCUGACCAAGAUAAAGCAAAGCAGACACACACAACAGACACACACAACAACAGUUACACAUAGAAUAAACAAACAUACAAUCAAUAAUACAGUAGAAUAAUCUAUAUACAGCAUGUGCAAAUGAGGUAGGAUAAGGGAGAUAAAGGCAAUAAAUAGGCCAUGGUUGCAAAGUAAUUACAAUAUAGCAAUUAAACACUGGGAUGGUAGAAUGUGCAGAAGAUGAAUGUGCAAGUAGAGAUACAGGGGUGCAAAGAAGCAAGAUAAAUAAAAUAAAUACAGUAUGGGGAUGAGGUAGAUUGGAUGGGCUAUGUACAGGUGCAGAGAUCAGUGAGCUGCUCUGACAGCUGGAGCUUAAAGCUAGUGGGGGAGGUAAGAGUCUCCAGCUUUCGUGAUUUUUGCAGUUUGUUCCAGUCAUUGGCAGCAGAGAACUGGAAGGAUAGGCGGCCAAAUGAAGAAUUGGCUUUGGGGGUGACCAGUGAGAUAUACCUGCACCAUGGCAAAAUGUGUUGAAAUGCAGGAAAGUAAGCUCAGGGUCCCAAAUGCGGUCAUCAAACCCUGGUUUAGGAGAGCAUUUUCCCUAACCCUAACCCUUUUACCUAACCUUAACCCCAGUCUCCUAACCUGCUGCAUAAGUUCUUAUAAACUGCUACAAAACAGUAUAUUCCGUAUCAAAGUGGAGUGAAAGGAUUGUCUCUGUGGCAUCCAGCCCAGCAGGCUCCUCUUGGCAAAUAGACUUCAAAGAGGAAGUUGGUGUCGGAGAAGUUGAGUGGUGUGUGAGAAUCACUCAGAUACAAUUACAGUUACUCUGUUUUUCAUGUAGAAACAUAAUGUGACAACCAUAUGUUUUGUAUCGAUCUCAAAUUAAACUUUUACUUUCUUUAUUUGAAAAAAUUAAUAGUGAAUUUUGGUUCAUAAAUUAACAAUAUUUUUUUAAAUCCCACAGAUAUUCCCAUUCAAGCCUGGGAGAUACGGGAGAUGGUUUUGCUGCCAAAAGUUUAUUUUAGCAAUUUAUUGGGGUCAGACUUAGUGAUUCAGGGGCCCGUUUCAAAAUGCUGUUGACCUGUCCUACCGUGAGAAAGGGACACUAAAUACAGUAGUAUUCCUUUAAAAUGAUAUCUCAUACACUUAUUAGGAAGUAUUUCACUGAUGAGAUGUGAGAUAUGCCACAUGAAUUUCAGCACAUUAGUUAGUCAGACCUCACUAUGUGUGUGACAGUUUCUGCUGUAGACAGUCUACGUUACCGUCUAAGGUGAUCAGUGGUGUGAACAUGUUUUUUCUCAUUGGCCUCUUUAUGUCAGGUGAGUCUUCCACACAACAACAACUAGUUAUGAAUCAGACAUAAAGGAAUAACCACAAGUCAUUAUAUUUUAUGGGAUGUGCUAUAUUCCAGCUUUUUAAUUGUGUAGAAAAGUGUACAGUUAAUUCCUGAUUAGUGUAUUUUAAUAGUCUGGAUUCAAACUGCUGUGAAAAAGUUUUUGCAUAUUUUUGAUACUGAACAUUAUCAGAUCAAUCAAUCUGAUAUUAGAUAAAUGGAAACUGAGUGAACAAAUAACACAUUUACAUACUUAUUUCAUUUAUUUCUUAAACAAAGUUAUGCAACACCCAAUGUCCCUGUGUGAAAAGUAAUUGCUUCCUUAUACUAAAUAACUGGUUGUGCCUCCUUCAGCUGAAAUGAAAACCAACUAUACAUAGUUGUUACUGUAGUUGUUGAUCAGUCUCUCAUGUUGCUGUGGAGGAAUUAUGUCCCACUCUCCCAUGCAGAACUGAUUUAACUCAGUGACAUUUGUGGGUUUUCAAGCAUGAACUGUCACAAUAUCUCAAUUGGGAUUAGGUCUGGACAUUGAGUAGGCCAUUCCAAAACUUUAAAUUUGUUGCUUUUAAUCCCUUUUCAUGUUGACUUGAUUGUGUGUUUUGGAAUGGAGGCACAACCAGUUAUUGAGAGUAAGGGGGCAAUUACUUAUUCACACAGGGGAAUUGGGUGUUGCAUAACUUUGUUAAUGAAAUAAGUUAAAUAACUAUAACAUUUUUUUUUGUUAUUUGUUAACUCAAGUUCCCUUUAUCUAAUAUUAGGUUUUGGUUGAAGAUCUGAUAACUAAAAAGAGAAGCAGAAAGGGGGAAAUACUUCCUCAUGUCUCUGUAUGUUCAUGUGAAACCGACAUCAGUGUGCGGUUAACAGUACAGCUUCCACCACUGUCCCUGUCACCACUCCUUGACAACAUACCGACCAAUUGAAAAAUCACCUGGACAUAGAAAUAAGUUAGUAUUAUGUGAGCGGACCAAGUCAUUUGGUGUCACUCUGAAACAGAAAGGUGGAAUAAACAAGUCAGGAGUAGGUUUUCUUGGUUGAACGCAGUUCUCUAUUGAGAGAUUUCUGACAACACUCCAACACAAUCAAUGAGAAUCUCCCAAGGAACAACAUACAUCUUCUUCUUUAGAUGACACAGGAACACAACGAUUAUCUUUAAACUAUAACAACAAUCACAGAUUUGUCACUGUCUUAAUGGCCCUUCUUUGGCUAGAUCCCUUCUCUUGGUAGCCAUUCUACAGAGAGGGUUUGUCUCUCCUCUCCCUGCUGGUUUCAUCCUCUCUCUUAUAGGGAAAGAGAAUAUGUCAUUAGUACCGUCAGCUGUGCUUAAUUACCUCUGGUUACCUUGUCUCAACAUGCCUUGUUGGGCUACUAUCCGUGAGCCCAGCCUGCCCACUGGUGGUCCUUCCACAACUAUUAUUAUUG